rnacentral:tRNA from 2 species
UUUAUUAUUUUUUUAUUAUAA